UCACGUCUGAGGUGCCAUACGCACAGUCAAAGCUUCUUCAGGAUCAUCUGCUUAUCUUGAGUUUGUGGUGAUAUUAAUAUUGAAUGUUUAAAUGAUCUGAAUCUGUCAGUACUAGGGUAGCAUGAGACAAGAUUUCUAAGAUUAAGAAUAAGUAAAUGUGCCCUAGCCAGGGUUAUUAUGUCCAUACACAUAACACAUGACAAUCCCCAAGAUACUCUUGACACACCUCAUUCAUGCUUCAGGACAAAAA